rnacentral:rRNA from 2 species
GGAUCAAUGUUUCGGUCAUGCCGUUGGUAUGUACUGAUAUUAUUGAUUUCUCACCUUCUAAAGAACCGUAAUGCCAUUAAUUUGGUGUCACGGGGAAUUAGGACUGUUACCUUGAAAAAAUUAGAGUGUUUAAAGCAGGCUCACGCUUGAAUACAUUAGCAUGGAAUAAUGAAAUAGGACAUCCGAUUCUAUUUUGUUGGUUUCUAGGAUCGAUGUAAUGAUUAAUAGGGAUAGUUGGG